GUGGGGAAUCUUCCGCAAUGGACGAAAGUCUGACGGAGCAACGCCGCGUGAGUGAAGAAGGUUUUCGGAUCGUAAAGCUCUUUCGUUAGGGACGAACGUGCUCUUUGUGAAUAAUGAAGAGUAAUGACGGUACCUAAAUAAGAAGCCACGGCUAACUACGUGCCAGCAGCCGCGGUAAUACGUAGGUGGCAAGCGUUGUCCGGAAUUAUUGGGCGUAAAGCGCGCGCAGGCGGGAUAUCAAGUCUGUCUUAAAAGUGCGAGGCUCAACCUCGUGAGGGGACGGAAACUGGUAUUCUUGAGUGUCGGAGAGGAAAGUGGAAUUCCAAGUGUAGCGGUGAAAUGCGUAGAGAUUUGGAAGAACACCAGUGGCGAAGGCGACUUUCUGGACGAUGUCUGACGCUGAGGCGCGAAAGCUAGGGGAGCGAACGGGAUUAGAAACCCUUGUAGUCC
rnacentral:rRNA from 1 species